rnacentral:rRNA from 1 species
UCUGAGACACGAAUCCAGACCCUACGGGGUGCAGCAGGCGCGAAAACUUGGCAAUGCGAGCAAUCGUGACCAGGGAACUCCAAGUGCGUAGGGUAAGACCUACGCUUUUCUUGACUCUUCAAAGGUCUUGGAAUAAGGGGUGGGUAAGGACGGUGCCAGCCGCCGCGGUAAUACCGGCGCCUCAAGUGGUAGUCGCUUUUAUUGGGCCUAAAACGUCCGUAGCCGGUCUGGUGCAUUCGUGGGUAAAUCAACCCGCUCAACGGGUUGAAUUCUGCGAGCACGGCCAGACUUGGGACCGGGAGAGGUGUGGGGUACUCUCAGGGUAGGGGUAAAAUCCUGUCAUCCUGAGAGGACCGCCUGUUGCGAAGGCGCCACACUAGAACGGAUCCGACGGUCAGGGACGAAACCUAGGGGCACGAACCGGAUUAGAUACCCGGGUAGUCCUAGGUGUAAACGCUGUGGACUUGAUGUUGGGAGCGCUCCGAGCGCUCUCAGUGUCGAAGCGAAGGUGAUAAGUCCACUGCCUGGGGAGUACGGUCGCAAGGCUGAAACUUAAAGGAAUUGGCGGGGGAGCACUGCAACCUGAGGAUUGUGCGGUUUAAUUGGAUUCA